rnacentral:rRNA from 1 species
CAUUUUCCUUGUUUGUUGAUCCUGCCGGACCUGACUGCUAUCGGAUUGGUACUUUAAAAGGGCCCCAUUGCCNGAAAGNUCCCGUUUUGGNUUAAGCAAUACAAGGCGGACUGGCUCAGUAACACGUAGUUAACUUAACCUAUGGAUGGGAAUAACCUCGGGAAACUGAGAAUAAUACCCAAUAGACCACAGUGCCUGGAAUGGCCUGUGGUUGAAAUGAAUUUUNUAAAUCGCCGUAGGAUAGGACUGCGGCCUAUCAGCUUGUUGGUGAGGUAAUGGCCCACCAAGGCUAUAACAGGUACGGGCUCUNGAGAGGAAGGGGCCCGGAGAUGGGUACUGAGACACUGUGACCNNCAGGCCCUAUGG